rnacentral:rRNA from 1 species
UACGUAGGGUGCGAGCGUUAAUCGGAAUUACUGGGCGUAAAGCGUGCGCAGGCGGUUCGUUGUGUCGGUGGUGAAAGCCCCGGGCUUAACCUGGGAAUGGCCAUGGAAACUGGCGAACUGGAGUGUGGCAGAGGGGGGUGGAAUUCCGCGUGUAGCAGUGAAAUACGUAGAGAUGCGGAGGAACACCGAUGGCGAAGGCAGCCCCCUGGGCUGACACUGACGCUCAGGCACGAAAGCGUGGGGAGCAAACAGG